UUUAGAGCCACGGAGCGUAGUAGAAUAUAUCCUAGAUGUUUACGUUGCAAAAACCAGGAGAAUUAGGUUAUUUAUUUGUUCUUUCAGAGAAGUAAGACAGCAAUAAACCUAUCCCUUAACUUGUACAUCAUAAGAGUUUCGAACAUGAAGAAAGUUCUUUGACGACUAAGAACCAGGAAAAAUCUCAUAGAUUAUUUAUUCUACCGCAAAAACUGAUCUAUAAAGAGACGAUAAAUUUUUGAUGCACGUUGAACCCAUCCUGUUGCCUCUUAAACACGUUUAUCUUGUUUUUUUGUAAGGUUUAGUGUGUUCUAAUCUGUCAAUCCAUCUGUCAAAAAUAGGUUUACUUUGCUUCAGAGCCGAAUCAUUUUUAAACUUGUUGCAUAGUCUAUGUAACUUUUUCUCUAAAGUUGUUCCUUUCUUCCCGUUCUCGUGUGUUUAGUGGCUCUCUUUGCACCAGAGCCGAUAUUUCAGGUGUUUGGGGUUUCCCCCCCUUUUCCUGGUUAUAUGGAAGCUUAUUCAUUUCGAUAUUAUUUGCCUAAUUAUAGAUUUAGUCCUGUAGACCGCGAAAUGAAUUUAUUUCCUCUAGGAAGAUAAAAUGGAGACUCCAUAUCUUAGCUUACAAGGGCCACUAGCGCAGGGGCUUCGGGUACGAAAUGAGCUGGUGCCUUUAAGAGCAGCCGCGGUAAUUUUCCACAGCCGGGACAGCCCCGCCCACGCGGCAGGGGGCAGGGUGCGACGGAGUGCGGCUGCGCGGCGCAACGCGCGCCUCCCGUUGCCAGGAUACCGCCUCCUCUACCCCGGGCCCCAAAGCCCUUUUGUUUCCAAGAUGGCCUCCGAGUUCUGUUUUAAUACGCACGGAACAAAGCGAGUUGAACACCUUUAAGCUUAGCGGAAAGCGAGAAUUGUAGGGAAACUAAGGCACCAGGAGGAGGUCGAGUAGCUGCCGGAAGCAUCGCAGCUAGUAAAUGAGGGAAACGGAGUCCGGCCCAGGCAGUCUAAGGAGAGCCUGCGCCAGGCUGCCGCCGUGCCACAUACUGCCUCCGAAAACACAGCAGGGAGUCCAUGAUGUCUUCUAAUUGCAGCACUUUUGGGGGGACGAGCGUGUAAGUCUCUCUCCCUGAAAUAAUGUUCCACUUUGUUGUGAAUAGACUUUUCACACUUGUAUCAGUCAGGGCAUUUAGACGCUUACCAGACCCCGAGCUGGAAGACACAAAUUCAACUAACCUUGGUGGCAGGUGUUGGGCAAAUUAAAAACAAAAUCUUCUGCCAACACGAAGAAAUCUUUGCACAAGUAGAAGAGAAAGACAACAGUUUCAUCACUGAAUAAAGAAAGCAUUAAAACGAAA